UACGUAGGAUGCGAGCGUUAUCCGGAUUUAUUGGGUUUAAAGGGUGCGUAGGCGGCUUUUUAAGUCAGCGGUGAAAUUUUGCAGCUUAACUGUAACAGUGCCGUUGAUACUGGGGAGCUAGGAUUUGGUUGCUGUGGGUGGAAUGUGUGGUGUAGCGGUGAAAUGCUUAGAUAUCACACAGAACACCGAUUGCGAAGGCAGCACACUAAGUCAUUAUUGACGCUGAGGCACGAAAGUGUGGGGAUCAAACAGGAUUAGA
rnacentral:rRNA from 1 species